GUGCUCACUUCGGCAGCACAUAUACUAAAAUUGGAACAAUACAGAGAAGACUAGCAUGGCCCCUGCUCAAGGAUGACACGCAGAUUCAUGAAGUGUUCCAUAUUAAA
ensembl:snRNA U6 U6 spliceosomal RNA